rnacentral:rRNA from 1 species
GAUGAACGCUGGCGGCGUGCCUAAUACAUGCAAGUCGAGCGAACAGAUAAGGAGCUUGCUCCUUUGACGUUAGCGGCGGACGGGUGAGUAACACGUGGAUAACCUACUUAUAAGACUGGGAUAACUUCGGGAAACAGGAGCUAAUACCGGAUAACAUAUUGAACCGCAUGGUUCAAUAGUGAAAGGCGGCUUUGCUGUCACUUAUAGAUGGAUCCGCGCCGUAUUAGCUAGUUGGUAAGGUAACGGCUUACCAAGGCAACGAUACGUAGCCGACCUGAGAGGGUGAUCGGCCACACUGGAACUGAGACACGGUCCAGACUCCUACGGGAGGCAGCAGUAGGGAAUAUUCCGCAAUGGGCGCAAGCCUGACGGAGCAACGCCGCGUGAGUGAUGAAGGUCUUCGGAUCGUAAAACUCUGUUAUCAGGGAAGAACAAAUGUGUAAGUAACUGUGCACAUCUUGACGGUACCUGAUCAGAAAGCCACGGCUAACUACGUG